UACGAAGGGGGCUAGCGUUGCUCGGAAUCACUGGGCGUAAAGGGUGCGUAGGCGGGUCUUUAAGUCAGAGGUGAAAUCCUGGAGCUCAACUCCAGAACUGCCUUUGAUACUGAAAGUCUUGAGUAUGGGAGAGGUGAGUGGAACUGCGAGUGUAGAGGUGAAAUUCGUAGAUAUUCGCAAGAACACCAGUGGCGAAGGCGGCUCACUGGCCCAUUACUGACGCUGAGGCACGAAAGCGUGGGGGAGCAAACAGG
rnacentral:rRNA from 1 species